GGACUACACGGGUAUCUAAUCCUGUUUGCUCCCCACGCUUUCGCAGAUCAGCGUCAGUAUCGGGCCAGUGAGCCGCCUUCGCCACUGGUGUUCUUGCGAAUAUCUACGAAUUUCACCUCUACACUCGCAGUUCCACUCACCUCUCCCGAACUCAAGAUCGCCAGUAUCAAAGGCAGUUCUGGAGUUGAGCUCCAGGAUUUCACCCCUGACUUAGCAAUCCGCCUACCUGCGCUUUACGCCCAGUGAUUCCGAGCAACGCUAGCCCCCUUCGUAUUACCGCGGCUGCUGGCAC
rnacentral:rRNA from 1 species